UUUAAUGUUUGAAAGAUCAUGAAAUUAUCGACUGGAAUUGCAGGUGUCGACGCGUCGAUCAAAAUUAAAGUAUUUAGAGGUUUUCCUCAAUUUUGC
rfam:Pteropus alecto contig99301, whole genome shotgun sequence.